rnacentral:rRNA from 1 species
GUGAAAGGCCAAACAAAUCUGGAGAUAGCUGGUUCUCCCCGAAAACUAUUGAGGUAGUGCCUCGUGUGUCGCUCCGGGGGGUAGAGCACUGUUUUGGCUAGGGGGACAUGGAGUCUUACCAAACCAAGGCAAACUCCGAAUACCUGGAAGCGUAAGCACGGGAGACAGAGCACCGGGUGCUAACGUCCGGACUCAAAAGGGAAACAACCCAGACCGCCGGCUAAGGUCCCCAAUAACAGCUAAGUGGAAAACGAAGUGGAAAGGCCGUGACAACCAGGAAGUUGGCUUAGAAGCAGCCAUCCUUCAAAGAAAGCGUAAUAGCUCACUGGUCGAGUCCUUCUGCGCGGAAGAUGUAACGGGGCUAAGCUGUUAACCGAAGCCGCGGAUGCACUGAUUAUUCAGUGCGUGGUAGGGGAGCGUUCUGUAAGUCUGCGAAGGCGGUUCGAGAGGACUGCUGGAGAUAUCAGAAGUGCGAAUGCUGACAUGAGUAACGUUAAAGCAGGUGAAAAGCCUGCUCGCCGUAAGCCCAAGGAUUCCUGCUCUACGUUCAUCGGAGCAGGGUGAGUCGGCUCCUAAGGUCAGGCCGAAAGGCGUAGCCGAUGGGAAUCAGGUUAAUAUUCCUGAACCUGCGUCAGAUGCGAUGGGGGGACGGAGCAUGAAAGAUCAUCCGGGUGUUGGAUGUCCCGGUUGUUGAGCGUAGGAGGUCUGCAGGCAAAUCCGCAGACGCAUCUCCAAGGCAAAGACACGUGCCGCCACGGCGGCGAAGUGAUCGGAAGUGCUUCCAAGAAAAGCCUCUAAGCACCAGUCUGACGCGGACCGUACCGCAAACCGACACUGGUGGGCGAGCUGAAUAUGCUCAGGCGCUUGAGAGAACUCGGGAGAAGGAACUCGGCAAAUUGACACCGUAACUUCGGAAGAAGGUGUGCCGUAGUAGCGUGAGAGGAGAGACACCUUGAGCGUGAAUCGGUCUCAGAGAAUAGGUGGCUGCGACUGUUUAUUAAAAACACAGCACUCUGCAAAGUCGAAAGACGACGUAUAGGGUGUGAUGCCUGCCCGGUGCUGGAAGAUUAAUUGAUGGGGUGAGAGCCCUUGAUCGAAGUCCCAGUAAACGGCGGCCGUAACUAUAACGGUCCUAAGGUAGCGAAAUUCCUUGUCGGGUAAGUUCCGACCUGCACGA